rnacentral:lncRNA from 1 species
UCUCCUUGCCCGGGUCCCCGUUUUCCCCCGGCGCAGUCCUCCUCCGGUGGGCGCCUCCGCACCUCGGCGCAGGCGGCACGGCCCUCGGGCCGGGAUGGAUCCGCCGGGAAGAGGAAGACAAGCCGGGGCGUUGAGCCCCUGCGCACGGUGCCGCCGCGCGUAGUGGGAGCUUACUCGCAGUAGGCUCUCGAAGGCUCAGGUCUGAAGCGGGAAGCUGAUCUUUUAUUACAGAUAUUGCUGGCGCCGUGGAGCCUCUGAAGAUAAACAAAGAUAAAGUCGAAAUCAUCAUGAUGGCUACCCCAGUGUCCCAUCUGAAAGUCGAGGGAUGGAAUUGGGGCAGGAACACAGCAGUAUGGUUCACAAGAGGACAGAUCCUGUUUUAAGAGGUUGAUCAGUUCUGUCAUGAAGAUGGAAGAUUAUUGACAGUAAUUAAUUAUUGGAAGCUUGAUGAUCACUAAUUUGCCUUCUGCCUCGGGAGUUCUGGAUUGGGGCGCUCUCUGGCAGGCACCUAGAGCAAAAGAGCAUUCAGUUUCUCUUCCUAAAAAGUCCGAUCAAGCUUUCAAACAACUGGCUAUUCAGACCCAACACGUUCUCUGCAGUGUAAGUAGGGAUCUCGAGGCAGUUUUCUCAUUGGUCAGUCAGACAGAACUGUGAGUUGUAGCUCAGUAGCCACCCACAUAUCUAUCAUAUUAUAUCAGCAGUGAUAUAAUCAGAAAUCAGAGCCAAGACCAGACCAGAAGACCCGGGCUCCAAUGCCCUUUCUGUGUUUGCCAUAUACAACCUGGAUGUAGUUUUCUAUAUCUCACCUGGUGUUGUAGGUUAUUAAAAACAGUAUAAGAUUGUCCUUCCUUUUGGAACAUAUUUUUCUGUAGAGGUGAAUUUGAGGUCUCCAAAAUGAUCUGAAAAGAAAAGAAUGAGUUGCGAUAUUAAUUGUAAGUUCUUUUAGAAAAUCAGCACACAGACACCAGAGCAUGAUGUAGGUGUGAAAACAAAGUUGUAUGUUGGAUGGCCGGGUGGGAGAGAGAACGACUGGAGUGAACCGUAGGACGGCAGUCAGUGAUACGGACACAAGUGCUGUGCUGUUACACAUUCUCAGAGAAGAUGGUGUGGGAGGACUGAGGGUGCUCGGUGCUCGGGUGCUGGAGAAAUCUAAGAAAGUGGCAAAGACUCCACGAGGCAGCCAAAGUGGAGAGAGAGAGACGGGGCUGGGGGGAGGCUGCUGGAUAAAAAAUGGGGUGUAGGACCAUGUGCCUGUGUCUGCAGUUCUGGGGAGGCAGAGUCAGGAGGCUUCCUAAGACUUGCCGACUGCCAUUCUAACCUAAUUUUAGGGAAGUGAAGGGUCAAAGACAAUUCAAAACGUAAGGCAGGAUAGUUAAGGGCAAUAACUGGAGUGGAAUUCUGAUUUCUUGACAUAGCUAGGAAUAUGCAGAACGGGGACAAAAUUCAUGUUGUUGAUUAUAGAAUAACAUCUUAGAGUACACAGAUGUAGGAUUAAGUGUCCUGAAUUAGAGACUUUCUGCUUUUAUUUAGAGCAGGGUCUUAGAGCUUGCACUCUCUGCCCCGGGCUGUACCCGCAGUUGUUGUUACCCAGUGUCACAUCCGCUUAUCUUCUCCUGGAAGUAGUUUAUCUGUAAACAUGUCUGUAUACAAGGCGAUGCACUUGCUGUCACUGGCCAGUUCCCUGUAACUUGCUGCUAGCCCCCAGGGCCUCCUGAGACUGAGGUUCACAGUGACGGAACCUGAACCUGUCAUUACUCUUGCCACUGAUUGUCCACCGCAUCUGACCUGUCCGGUGCCGAGGACUCAAAUGCCACCCGCUUUCUCCUUGGAAAGUUUGAAUGCUUCUUUCAUUUAUUCUGCAUUUUACACAUAACUGUGGGUUUAUAAUAUAAAAUUAACUUGGUAUUAUCUAAGAUCUACUUCUGUUUUAAAUAGCACAUUUUUCCAAUUUGAAAAUUAGUACUCAUCAAAUCAAAUGUUUAGAAAUUAAGAAAAAUAAAAUUACAAUAAUCAAAAACU